rnacentral:lncRNA from 1 species
GUUGAUUCUGGUCCUGGAAGAGUAGGCAGACCUUUCCAGGAGGGAUGUGCCCAGAUAUCCUCAGUUGCAAUCUCAAUCUGAUGGAAGAAAAAGAGGCCAUCAUUCAUUCACUCAGCAAACAUUUAUUGAGGACCUACUGUGUUCUCGGCACUGUAAUAGCCCUGGGAAAAAGAAGACAUUUGAGGAAAAAGACGAUCCAAGUUUCUGCCCUAACUGAGCUUACUUUUUGUAGGCAUUUAGUGGUUGGAAAGUAUGACAGACUGAAUUGUGUCAAACUUCUUAUGUUGAAGCCCUAACAUCCAAGGUGACAAUUUGGAGAUAGUGCCUUGAGGGAGGUGAUCAAUAAUAAAUGAGAUCACAAGAGUUGAACCCUAAUCUAACAGGACUAGUGUCUUUAUAAGAAGUGGAAGAGACAGCAGAGAUCUCUGUCUCUGUCCACAGGCACACAGAGGAAAGACCAUGGGAGGACACAGUGAGAAGGUGGCCAUUUAUAAGCCAGGAAGAAAGUCUGCACCAGAAUACAACCCUGCCAGCACCUUGAUCUUGGACUUCCAGCCUCCACACCUGUAACAAAACAAAUCUCUGUUGUCUCAGCCCCCCGACCUGAGGUAUUUUGUGAUGCAGCCUGAGCAGACUAAUACAGAAUGGAUCUGCGGUCACUGUGAGAAGACAGGAGAGGAGAAAGGAGAGAAAGGAAAUUGUUCACAGAAGAGGAAUACAGGAAUGAUUCUGAUCAUCACUCAGAAUUCUUGUCAUUUAUUUCACAAGUUAAGAUCGCUCCUAUUUUUGAUGGAUUCCAGUAAAGAAAAAGCUACAACUUCCCUUGAUGAUUACUUGGCUCUCUCAACCCUGUCUCGGGCCUUUCACUGCAUGGUUAUGUGUCAUGUCUAUCUGCCUCCUGGGAUUCAUAAGCUACUCCCGUGGCAAGUCUCAGCUUAGUUCAUUCGCCAGCCGCUGCUGGUCAGAGUCUGGCCUAAAUAUAGCUGCAUCCCUCUCAGGGUUCUCUCAUUUCUCCUGUGAACCAAAUGCUUUGAUUCUCAUUUCUGGUUUUAACUGGCCAACCAGGCAAUAUAUUUCCAUAUAUAAGCAAUCUCUGUGGAGUAUUUCUGAAUCCCCAAAGACAGUCUGCCCUUCCUUGGCUCAUGGAAUUAGUAAAUUUACUUAAAAAUUAUACUCCUGACAACAAAAAGAGC